GUUUACUAUACUGACCUAGUACCAUCACCCUGACUUGGAAUUUCUCACCCCCCAGACAAUAAUCCCAAAAAUGUUCCACAGUGUAAUCAGCGAGACGCUGAUGCUUAAGGGGCUAUACCAGUGUGACGCAUGAAAAAUUAGGCGAUUUUCCUGAAAUUUUUUAAAAGAAAGUACUAGAUUGAAAGUUAUAUUAAAUUUUUUUUAACAAAAUAUUGAAAAAUAACGGAGUUUUGUGCUAUCUGCGGAAAUACCGAAAACAAAAGUUCCUCAACUGCUGGCAUGACUCCGGUCGAAUGAGUAGCUGAACAAAAAAAUUCAAAAUGUUUGUUAAACUAAAAUAUAUUUUCUAUAAAAUGAACUGCGAUCUUUGAAAAAUAUCAAAAAUUAAGAAAAUGGCGUAAUUUUGAAAAAAAAAAUCGUUUUUUUACGAAAAAAAAUGAUCGUUUUUUUAAUGCCAAAUUGACAAUUUUCAACCAAUCAAAAAGAGCGUAGUCCAUUGUAUAGCAAAUGUAUUCAACUAUAACUAGUUUUAAUUUGAAGUCGAUCGGUCAAUUUAUCGUUGAGUUGUGAUGUCAGCAAUUUUGAAAAAUGUCAUUUCGAGAAAAACGCGUUUAAAGUCUCACUUAUUAGAACGCUGCCAUUCAAAAACUAUUCUAGAUUCGACCUUGCCGAUUUCACAGGAUAUUUUUGAAUAUAUAAACUAUCGAAAAAGCAAAAAGAAAAUUGUUUUUGAAAGUGUCACACUUGUAUAGCCACUUAAGUUGAGGAGAGUUAUCACAGUUAGCAUAGCAUUAGCAUAUACCAACAACAAAGUUGUCGUUGCUAAUAAAAUAUAUAAUAUAUUGAAUUCAGCAAUAUUCUGCAAAUAAACAAUAUCAUUGUUGCUUAAUAAAGUUCAUUUCCAAAAAUUACUACAACACAUUUCGUCGACACCAAACCAGAGCGGAAACCGUCCCGACGUAAUGUAAGCCGUUUCUUUCACAAACUGAGGUUUGCAAUAAUUAUUGCUUACGUUAUCAUAAUUGAGUAUAUAGAAAUUAGUAUUAGUAAGUAAGAAUUCGUACAUAUAUAUGUAUAUUUAUACCCUGCAAGACGGAGGUAACAGAUUGCACAAACACAUUGAAACAUUUUCAGCUGUUCACUAACACUGUUACAUAUUCUGGAAUUUUCAAUUGAAUGGGAGAUUAUGUAAGUUAGAUGGAGAAAAACUAUCGACAUUCUAAACAUAUUGUAAUGUUAAUUUGCUAGAAUAGGAUAGACGAAUACCCAAUUUUUCAAGAAGAAGAAAACAAAAAGCGCAGUUUAUUUUGGAUUUUAAAGACAGAAAAGGAAAAAGAUUAAGAAGGUGAAAAAGAAAUCAUUUGGACCAUUUGAAAAAUUCAAAUCUAUUACGUAUAACAAACAAAUAAGAGAAAUGAAUUUCGAAGACCUCGUGGAAGAAAUGGAUUCCGAAGUUGAAUGCUACCAACCGUUGAGCCCCCAUUGAGAUAAAGUGUUUAAAAAAAUAUCUUACAACCUCGUUUGCGCUCCUCGAGUAGAACCAUCACAAAUUGUGGUACCGUCACCAUCUUCUGGCGGCCAUGCAGAUAUAAUCCAGAAGCUGGAUGCCAUUGAGACCCGACUCACUGCCAUUAAAAAGUCCCUAAAAGACAAAAUGCUAGAAAAGGCCGAGGUACAGGCACAAAGCAAAUUAUUGCGCGAAUACCGCGUCAUAGCGACAAAGAUGCAUCAUUCGAUUAUCCGCAUCACCCGUUACUUGGAGGACGAACAUUACGUGGAGCUCGCUUCGAAUCUGCCUAUGUCAUCGGAAGAGCACGUAUUAGUUUUAAGUUGCAAAUAUUAGUUCAAAGUUGCACAUAUUAGUUUUAUGUUGUAAAUAUUAGUUUUAAGUUAUACAUAUAAAUUAGUUUUAAGUUGCAUAUAUUAGUUUUAAGUUGUAUAUAUUAGUUCUAAGUUGAAGUUUCUAGUUUUAUGUAAUAAUAAUAGGCAUAUUAUAAAUUUAACUAAAUAUCUGA